rnacentral:rRNA from 1 species
GAUGAACGCUGGCGGCGUGCCUAAUACAUGCAAGUCGAGCGAACGGACGAGAAGCUUGCUUCUCUGAUGUUAGCGGCGGACGGGUGAGUAACAUGUGGAUAACCUACCUAUAAGACUGGGAUAACUUCGGGAAACCGGAGCUAAUACCGGAUAAUAUUUUGAACCGCAUGGUUCAAAAGUGAAAGACGGUCUUGCUGUCACUUAUAGAUGGAUCCGCGCUGCAUUAGCUAGUUGGUAAGGUAACGGCUUACCAAGGCAACGAUGCAUAGCCGACCUGAGAGGGUGAUCGGCCACACUGGAACUGAGACACGGUCCAGACUCCUACGGGAGGCAGCAGUAGGGAAUCUUCCGCAAUGGGCGAAAGCCUGGCGGAGCAACGCCGCGUGAGUGAUGAAGGUCUUCGGAUCGUAAAACUCUGUUAUUAGGGAAGAACAUAUGUGUAAGUAACUGUGCACAUCUUGACGGUACCUAAUCAGAAAGCCACGGCUAACUACGUG